GACGAACGCUGGCGGCGUGCUUAACACAUGCAAGUCGAACGGAAAGGCCCUGCUUUUGUGGGGUGCUCGAGUGGCGAACGGGUGAGUAGCACGUGAGUAACCUGCCCUUGACUUUGGGAUAACUUCAGGAAACUGGGGCUAAUACCGGAUAUGAGCUCCUGCUGCAUGGUGGGGGUUGGAAAGUUUCGGCGGUUGGGGAUGGACUCGCGGCUUAUCAGCUUGUUGGUGGGGUAGUGGCUUACCAAGGCUUUGACGGGUAGCCGGCCUGAGAGGGUGACCGGCCACCUUGGGACUGAGAUAGGGCCCAGACUCCUACGGGAGGCAGCAGUGGGGAAUAUUGCACAAUGGGCGGAAGCCUGAUGCAGCAACGCCGCGUGCGGGAUGACGGCCUUCGGGUUGUAAACCGCUUUCGCCUGUGACGAAGCGUGAGUGACGGUAAUGGGUAAAGAAGCACCGGCUAACUACGUG
rnacentral:rRNA from 1 species